CCUACGGGAGGCAGCAGUGAGGAAUUUUGGUCAAUGGACGCAAGUCUGAACCAGCCAUGCCGCGUGCAGGAAGACGGCUCUAUGAGUUGUAAACUGCUUUUGUACGAGGGUAAACGCAGAUACGCGUAUCUGUCUGAAAGUAUCGUACGAAUAAGGAUCGGCUAACUCCGUGCCAGCAGCCGCGGUAAUACGGAGGAUUCAAGCGUUAUCCGGAUUUAUUGGGUUUAAAGGGUGCGUAGGCGGUCGGAUAAGUUAGAGGUGAAAUCCCGAGGCUCAACUUCGGAAUUGCCUCUGAUACUGUUCGGCUAGAGAGUAGUUGCGGUAGGCGGAAUGUAUGGUGUAGCGGUGAAAUGCUUAGAGAUCAUACAGAACACCGAUUGCGAAGGCAGCUUACCAAGCUACUUCUGACGUUGAGGCACGAAAGCGUGGGGAGCAUACAGGAUUAGAUACCCGGGUAGUC
rnacentral:rRNA from 1 species